UUGGGCUGUAGCUAGGCGAGGUGGGGGCAUAACUUGGAGAAGUUGGAGAAUAAGAUGGUGAUGUUGGGCUAUAUCCAGGAGAAGUAGGGCUGUAAGAAGGUGAUGUGGGACUGUAACCAGGAGAGGUAGGACUAUAACCUGGGGAAGUAGGACUGUAACCAGGUGAUGUAGGACUAUACCCAGGUGAUGUGGGGCUGUAACCUGGUGACAAGGGACUGUAUCCAGGAGAGGAAGGGCUGUAUCCUGGAGAUGACGGGGAGAAGGGCAUGUUCCCGACGUACGGCGAAAACUGCGCAUCUGAUAGUGGAGAAGCACGCAGACUUGGACUAAGCAGAUAACUGGGUGACAUCAUGCCAUCAUUGUGUGGCGUUCCGAUCAUA
rnacentral:lncRNA from 1 species